AAGAGGUUCAAAGUCCACUACUUCGGAUAUGGAAAACAAUAUGACAAAUGGUUGGCAAGAGACGAAGUAAAAGCUUAUCCAUUGGCUGUGGGGGAAAAAGUAAAGGUCAGAUGGGAAGAUGGGUUUUUUUUACAAGGCAGAAGUCAAAGGCAUUGGUGAGAAAGGUGUAACUGUGUUGUUUGAAGAUGGCAUUAUUGCCAAAGCUACCUACCAGCUUUAAAUUCUGCUAAAGAGCCCCACUUCCAGCCAGUCACAACAGACCAAUCAGCCUGAAGAAAAUUGAAUGUUGUUUAUCAGAGUUAUUCACAUUACGAAUAAAUUUGUUGUUGUGAGA